rnacentral:rRNA from 1 species
ACAGAAGGUGACCGCUACUUAAGUGUCUUUUAGGACUGUGAUAGGUGGGUAAUAUCCUUAUCAGAAAGGAGAGGGCAAGCUGGUGCCAGCCGCCGCGGUAAAACCAGCUCUUCAAGUGGUCGGGAUCUUUAUGGGCUUAAAGUGUCCGUAGCCGGUUUAGUAGGUUCCUGGUAAAAUCGGAUAGCUUAACUAUUCGUAUGCUAGGAAUACUGCUAUACUAGAGGGCGGGAGAGGUCUGAGGUACUACUAGGGUAGGGGUGAAAUCUUAUAAUCCUUUUAGGACCACCAGUGGCGAAGGCGUCAGACUGGAACGCGCCUGACGGUGAGGGACGAAAGCUAGGGGAGCGAACCGGAUUAGAUACCCGGGUAGUCCUAGCCGUAAACGAUGCAUACUAGGUGAUGGCACGGCCAUGAGCCGCGUCAGUGCCGUAGGGAAACCGUUAAGUGUGCCGCCUGGGAAGUACGGUCGCAAGGCUGAAACUUAAAGGAAUUGGCGGGGGAGCACCACAAGGGGUGAAGCCUGCGGUUUAAUUGGACUCAACGCCGGGAAACUUACCAGGGGAGACAGCAGAAUGACGGUCAGGUUGACGACCUUACUUAACAAGCUGAGAGGAGGUGCAUGGCCGUCGCCAGUUCGUGCUGUGAGGUAUCCUGUUAAGUCAGGCAACGAACGAGAUCCGCGCCUUUAUUUGCCAGCAAGAAGUUAAGACUUCGUUGGGAACAAUAAAGGGACCGCCUUCGAUAAGAAGGAGGAAGGAGCGGGCAAAGGCAGGUCAGUAUGCCCCGAAACCCCUGGGCUACACGCGGGCUGCAAUGGUAUGAACAAUGGGCUGUGACUCCGAGAGGAGAAACCAAUCCCGAAAUCAUAUCUCAGUUGGGAUUGUCGGUUGUAACCUACCGACAUGAACGUGAAUCCCUAUAUCGCGGCAUCUCGCGCGU